CCUACGGGGGGCAGCAGUGAGGAAUAUUGGUCAAUGGACGAGAGUCUGAACCAGCCAAGUAGCGUGAAGGAUGACUGCCCUAUGGGUUGUAAACUUCUUUUAUAUGGGAAUAAAAUGUUCCACGUGUGGGAUUUUGUAUGUACCAUAUGAAUAAGGAUCGGCUAACUCCGUGCCAGCAGCCGCGGUAAUACGGAGGAUCCGAGCGUUAUCCGGAUUUAUUGGGUUUAAAGGGAGCGUAGGUGGAUUGUUAAGUCAGUUGUGAAAGUUUGCGGCUCAACCGGAAAAUUGCAGUUGAAACUGGCAGUCGUGAGUACAGUAGAGGUGGGCGGAAUUCGUGGUGUAGCGGUGAAAUGCUUAGAUAUCACGAAGAACUCCGAUUGCGAAGGCAGCUCACUGGACUGCAACUGACACUGAGGCUCGAAAGUGUGGGUAUCAAACAGGAUUAGAUACCCCUGUAGUC
rnacentral:rRNA from 1 species